AACGAACGCUGGCGGCAUGCCUAACACAUGCAAGUCGAACGAGACCUUCGGGUCUAGUGGCACACGGGUGCGUAACGCGUGGGAACCUGCCCUUAGGUUCGGAAUAACUCCCCGAAAGGGGUGCUAAUACCGGAUAAUGUCUUCGGACCAAAGAUUUAUCGCCUUUGGAUGGGCCCGCGUUGGAUUAGCUAGUUGGUAGGGUAAAAGCCUACCAAGGCGACGAUCCAUAGCUGGUCUGAGAGGAUGAUCAGCCACACUGGGACUGAGACACGGCCCAGACUCCUACGGGAGGCAGCAGUGGGGAAUAUUGGACAAUGGGCGAAAGCCUGAUCCAGCAAUGCCGCGUGAGUGAUGAAGGCCUUAGGGUUGUAAAGCUCUUUUACCCGGGAUGAUAAUGACAGUACCUGGAGAAUAAGCUCCGGCUAACUCCGUG
rnacentral:rRNA from 1 species